UAGAGCAAACUUGAUAGAAUUACAGGUGUUCGGGAGGACAUAGAGUUGAAGUUAUCACAGAGACCGCAAUUGCAAGAGCAAACUGCUUACAUUUCCACAAUGAUAGAAGGAUUAGAAAUACGAGCAGCUAAUCUGAUCUUUGCCAGGAAACAGAAAGAGCUGAAACAAAUAGCUGCUAACCCUGAGAAAAAAAGUAAGGAGACAAAAGGAAAGGAAGAAGAAACAAAGUCUGCUGCUAAACAAUCAGAUGAUGACCUUGGAAAAUCGAGGCAGAAAAUGAUUUCUGAUGUCCGUCCAAGAUACCAAACAG